UCUUUCCCCACAAUGCAAAACUAGUCCUUGAAUUUCAAGGCAAGCAGCAACCAUUAAUCAUCCUUAAACUCAACGAAUUAAUGAAUUUACCUGUCGAAUUUCUUAGGGAUAUUGUAAUUGAAUACUCUUUUCCUGACUGAAAAUCAAACAAGGUGAUGCUAUCAAGAAUCAGGCGCGCGCGCCUAUAUAUACACCUGUGCCUACGUGCGUCUUCUUGACGCGAUCGACAUUCCAAGACUGAGUGAGUGGCUGUAGUUGGAGAAUUCAUCAGAAUUUCAGUCCAAGUUCAGUGUUUCUAAAGUGAAGACAUGUUAAGGUGAAUGGCCGACUUUCUACUAACACUAUAAGCAUAAGCGUCACUUAUGUGACCAUGAAAAGAUUUUUACGCACUAGCUCUGACACUACCUCACCAGCAAGGAUAUGCCUCAGUGGAGUGAUGGCUUUUCUGAUCACCUAGAGGCACUUUGAUCUGUGUUGCCUCAGUGCUUCUGUGGGAUGUACGUUGCUAUCAUUUUUGCUUAGGAUGGUUGAAGAGAUUGUCACGGAUCACAAUAGUGGGAUGGAAUUUAGCCAGAUCAGCUUGUUUCCGUUGGUUUUAAUGGAGUUGCCCAAAUGUUGAAGUUUCUGCAAGGAAGAAGAAUUCCAGUCACACUCGUACAUUCUGUAUGCAUCCUACAAUCUGAUACUCACUAUGGCAAGACAUAAACCUUCAUCUGUCCACUUUAAUGGCUCUUUUCGUUUUUAUCCCCCGCCCUAGUACGCAGGGGAUGCUCUUGAAACACAUGGAGGGUGAAUAUCUACGUACCAUUGGGGAAUUUGAUAUUAGAAUCAUGCAUUUGAAAUUGAUAAUGGAAUUGAAAUGAAUCAGACAUGAGUCCGGGAACCAUUGCCAUUGGCAGGUUUGAAUGUUUGCAGUGUGGCAUUGUUGAGGAGUUGUUCUGGAAUUUGAUUGUACAAGAGAUGGAAUCUUGGAAUGAAUUUGAAUUGAAUA